AGGUUUUGAGCGGACACGCAGCCGACAGACGCAAAGUUGUGGGACACGUGGACGGCUCUGCGCUACGAUGACGAGGACAACCUGCUUUUGGACAGAUGAAACAGACACUGAGCACUCACAGGAAGUUGAACAUGUUCCUCAGUCUCUGGAAGAACAAACAUUUGAGGACAAAACUGAACACAAGAUGGACCACUUACACUGCUAAUCAAGUCUCAACAGCAUUUCGGACCUUCUGCACAUUCAUGUACAACUUGCUUUUGCCCAGCAGGUGCAGGAUCUUGGGGGGGCCAGGGUGCUUCUCCUCCACGCAGAGUCAAAAAAACAAACAGCAUGUCAAACCCAGCAGACGUGGCGACAGGAGAGCCUCGUACAUCUUGUUCCUCUCGCAGCUCUGCAUGACGUCAACACUGCACACAAAAAGCAGGAUGUGAGGAGUGGUUGCUGCAAGUCACCCUCCUUCAGAAGAUUGGCUUUAACACAGAUGAGCAUGCAGUAGGAAAAUAGUCAACUGAGACCAGAAUUUCUAAAACAAAGACAUCUGUUCAGUUUUGCCAUAUAGCACAUUUGACAAGAGAUGAAACCCACCAGCAAUGAAGAGGAUGUGACUUGUUUCUCUCUGGGACUUUGUCCAAGCGCUCACGAGGAAGGAAAAACAUUUGAACAACAUUGUGAUGAUUGUUCAGUGUAUUCACAGAGUGGACUGUCAAGUGUGUGUGGACACCAGUGCAAACAUCUCAAACUUGUCCAACUCCUCAGGCUGCUCCACAGUUUGGCUUUCAGCAUCUUCUGAUGUGGUCAUCCAGCUGAAUUAAAAUAAGUUGCACUUGAG